GUAAGAUGGCUGCUCUACUCUAUGUGUUGUGUCUGGGUCCCAGGCAAAGAGAAGGGGCAGGAGCAAAGGGUCCAAGGUGCAUGCCAACUGAGUCUGUGCCUUUGUACCAAGAAAAUAAUCGCUUUCCUGGAAGCCCCACUCACUGGACUUCCUCUGUCAUCUUGCUGGCCAGAACCUGAUUGGGUGGCCACCCUUACUGGGCACAUGGCUCUCCUAAACAAAACCGGCAUGCUAUUAGAAAGGAAGAGGAAAUGGUAGAAGAUGAGAUAAACAACCAGCGGUGCCUACCACUCCUUCAGUCUAUUCCAGUCCAUUGGAACUUUACCCUCCUUUGAGCAACUGUUUACAGUCUUCCCGCCUUAUCCUCAGGGGAUACUUUCCAAGACCUCCAGUGGAUGCUCGAAACCAAGGAUAGUAUCAAGCCCUAUAAAUACUGUUUUUUUCCUAUAUAUACAUACCUAUAAUAAAGGUUAAUCUAUAAAUUAGGCACAAUAAGAGAUUGACAAUUAUAACUAAUAACAAAAUAGAACAAUUAUAACAAUAUACUGUAAGAAAGGUUAUGCAAAUGAGGUCUCUCUCUCUCAAAAUAUCCUAUUAUACCAUACUCACCCUUCUUCUUGUGAUGUGUCCAUGGCUGGAUGUCAGGAGCAGACAAUGUCAAUAACUCACAGGUAGGUAGCACAUACAGUGUGGAUACACUGGACAAAGGAGUGAUUCAUAUCCCCACAGGACAGAGUCGGACGAUGUGAAAUUUCUUCAUGCUGCUCAAAAUGGACCUAUAAUUGAGAGGCCAACUGGACCAUUUGACCUUGGCUGAAGGGGACACAGGAGUGCAGAAUGAAGUUUUGCCAUGAACGUAGAUCCUCCCUUACAAAUCCCUCCAUUUUCAAACCCGAGGUCAGAGCUUCUCUGGGCAGCCAGCCCCAGCCCUCAGGUGAACUCAGCACAGCCCUUCUGACUUACCCAGGAAGAUGGGAAAAGGCGAGAGUGAAGAAGCAAGAGAGAAUGAAAUGAAGAAGCCAAGUCUUCUCCUUCUUCCUUUCCCCUCCAGAGGAAAACCAUCUCAAGAGCCAGAAGUGGUAUAGGCCCCUAAGUCAAGCUUUUUCAAGCUCCACUUCUAAUGCUCCAUGCCUUAAAAAGUAUGACCCAAGACUGUCCCUGAACAUGGCUGAUCCACGGUAACAUCCUUCCUCCUGGGAUAGUCUCAGAGGUGCGUGAGGGGAGCACCAUGAACUUUCUCAACCUACAGGCCAACAUAUUUUAUUUUAUAUUCUUAUGUCACUAUCUCAGAACUUAAUAGCCACUGUAUGGCAAAAUAAAUAAUUGGGUUUUUGUGACGAGCCUUUGAAAUGUCCUUCCCACUGCGGAUGUGCCACACUGUCUCCUAAUUCUCCCCUUACAAGCAGACGUAAUCCAUGUUUCUGAAUGAAUUUAUAAUAUGAAACCUUCAAAGGGUGGCAUGUAAGUUCCACAGACCUCAUUUUUACAACAAGGAAAGAUUCUUUCCAGGAAAAGAUUUUGAAGACCUGAAUACUAAGUGAGUGGUGCUAUUAUAUGCAUGUGAAACAGAAAUGUCUCCCAGUCUUUGGUAACUGGUGCAGUAGACCAGAGCUGGUUUUAAUUAUGUAGAAAUGACUGAUUACAGUAAAAACUCAACCUGGAAAACUGCCUCAGAGUUAGAGUAAAGGAUUUAUAAGAAUUUAGAGUUGGCAGAGACCAAAGUGAUCAUCUUAUUCACUGGUGCCUUACGUUUUAUUUAAUCCACUCAACAAAUGUUUACUGAAUGCCCGUUAUGUGCAGGGAAUGCAAGUACAAAAAUCUUUUUUUAAUAUUAAAAAAGGUCACAGACCAUCAUAUGAUAGCAUUGUAAUUCUGGACAUUCAGAAAAUUAUUUAAUAAAGUAAAAUCAACUACAAACUUAAUAAAAGUUUAAAUAUUAUAUUUUAAUAAUUAUGACAUUACCUACAUUGAAAAUUAGUAGUAUACACAUGUAUAAGAUGUAUUAUUCAUUCCAUUGACAAAAUGCUUGAUUCACAAACAUUCCUAAAAUUCCUUGCAGGCACACCUAAGUUCCCUCCGAGUCUAAAGCCUAUAAAUUGGAAAUUGCUGACUAGUUCAAUAAGCUCAUUUUACUGAUGAUGAAAAUCAAUAAAUAACUUACAUCUGGUCUUAUAACUAGUGGUAGAGCUAGCAGCUCCAACUCCUAACCCAGAGCCUCACUGUGUCAUGUAGUUUCUGCCUAUCUGCUGUCUAUUCAAUUAUGUGACAGAGAACACUAACUGACCCCCAUGAUUUAUUCUCUUCCUCUUCAGCCCCACAAGUUUCAACCGGGCACAUGGGUCACCAGAUGGAGACUACAUUUCCCAGCUCCUCUUGCAGGCUGGCAUGUCCAUGUGACUGACUAUGGCCCGUGAAUGUAAGUGGAAUUGAUGAGUCCAAUUUCUAGGUCACAUCCUUAUAAAAGAAGCUAUUACAACUCCACAUCCUAGCCCUCCUCCCCCCAAAUUCUGCACUGCUGAAACAGUUUUGACUGUGCAGAUUAAGUCAGAAUCCUGGAGGCAAAUGCAAUAAAUAGAAAGAAUCUGACCCCCUGGGUGCCCUCAAUGAACAGGACCACCUUUCACUGCUGCAACCCCUUCUGGACUGGUAUGUGAAAGAGAAAGAAACUUCUAUUUCAUCUUAGCUACCAUAUUUGCAAGUUCCUUUGUGGCAGAACUUUAGUCAAACCUAACCAAAAUAACAUAAUAUACUCACAUAAAAGGUUACAAGGUGAGAGGAUAAGAGCAAUAGCAAAAUGUGCUUCUGAAAAUAAGGACAGUGUUUCAUUUGUAUUUCUAAUUAAUUGCAUUACGUUUGAUCUUGGUGAUCAUAGAAGAAAAUUAAUCUCAGACUAUAGAGGCCCCUGGUAUUUACCAUGGUGUGGUAUCCUCCCAUGCUCUAUCAGAGUUGGUCUGUGUGACCAAUAGAAUAUGACAGAAGUGAUAAUGUGUGACUGCUGAGGCUAGAUUAUAACAGCAGUGUUGCUUCUGCCAGGAUUUUCUCAGGUAGAUCACUUUUUCUGAGGGAAUCCAAGUGCCAUGCCAUGAGGACACUCAGGCAGCCCUAUAAAGAGGCCCACAUGGCCAAAAUCUUGAGGCCUCCAGUCAAUAGCAAACAAGAAACUGAGAUGAGCAUGGAAGUAGAUACUCAAGCUUCAAUGAAAUCUUCAGAUAACUGCAGCCCCAGGAGACAUCCAGUUUACCUCAUAGGAGAGCCUGAGACAGAACCACCUAGCCAGGGAAUGUAAAUUGGUAUAGCCGUUAUAGAAAAAAUAUGGAGGUUCCUCAAAAAAAUGAAACAGAAGUUCAUACUGUAUUAGUCCAUUCUCACACUGCUAUAAAGAACUACAUGAGACUGGGUAAUUUAUAAAGAAAAGAGGUUUAAUUUGGUCAUGGUUCUGCAGGCUGUACAGGAAGCAUAGCUAGGGAGGCCUAGGGAAACUUACAAUCAUGGCAGAAGGGGAAGCUGUUACAUCUUAUAUGGCUGGAGCAGGAGGAAGAAAGCAAGGUGGAAGGUGCUUACACACUUUUAAACAACCAGACCUCACAAUAACUCACUCACUGUCACAAGAACAGCACCAAAGGGGAGAUCCACCACCAUGAUCCAAUCACCCUCCACAAGGCCCCACCUCCGACAUUGGGGAUUACAAUUUCACAUGAGAUUUGGGCAGGGACACAGACCCAAAUCCUAUCACAUACAGUCUAACAAUCCCACUUUUGAGUAUAUCUCCAAAGGAAAUGAAAUCAGUAUCAAAGAGAUACCUGCACCCUCAUGUUCAUUGCAGCAUUAUUCACAAUAGCCAAAAUAUGGAAACAACCUAAGUGUCCACUAAUGGAUGAAUGAAUAAGGAAAGUGUAGAAUAUAUGCCAGGUGCUGUGGCUCAUGCCUAUUGUCCCAGCACUUUGCGAGGCCGAGGCCGAGAAGGGUGGAUCACUUAAAAUCAGGAGUUCAAAACCAAUCUGGGCAACAUGUGAAGACCCCAUCUCUACUGAAAAGACAAAAAAAUUGGCCGAGUGUGGUGGUGGGUGCCUGUAAUCCCAGUUACUCAGGAGGCUCAGGCAGGAGAAACACUUGAACCCAGGAGGCGGAAGUUGCAGUGAGCCAAGAUCACACCACUGCACUCCAGCCUGGGUGACAGAGAGAGACUCCAUCUCAAAAAAAAGAAAAAGAAAAAAAUAUAUAUAUAGGACUAUUAGUCAGCUAUAAUAAAAUAUGUGAAUCCUACCAUUUGCAACAACAUGGAUGAAAUUGAAGGACAUUAUGCUAACUGAAAUAAAACAGACACAGAUAUACAAAUACUCUAUGAUCUCAUUUAUAUGUGGAAUCUAAAAAAUGUGAACUCAUAGAGGCAGGGAAUAGAAUGGUAGCUACCAGGGGCUGGGCAGGGGCAGGUGGGGAGAUGUUGAUUAAAGAGUACAAAUUUUUAGACAUAAGAUGAAUAAGUUCUGGGUUUCUAAUUUACAGCAUGGUUAUUAUAGUUAAUAAUACUGUAUUAUUCACUUGAAAUUUGCUAAUUGAGUGGACCUUAAGUGCCUUUACCACACACACACACGCGCGCACACACGCACACACACACAAAAUGGUAACUAAGUGUGGUGAUAGAUGUGUUCAUUAAUUUGACAGUGGUAAUCAUUAUACAAUGUAUACAUAUAGCAAAUCACCAUGUUGUAUACCUUGAACAUAUACAAUUUUUGUCAAUUAUACAAUUUGUAAAGAUGGGGGUAAAAACCUAGCUAAGUCACUCCCAAUUCCUGACCUACAGAAACUGUGCUAUAAUAAAUGUUUGUUGUUUUAAGCCACUAAACUUUGGGUUAAUUCAUUAUACAGCAAGAGAUACCUCAUACACUUAUUGAAUGUGUUUGGCAGGUGACCUGAUACAGAGCCUACUAGAAAUGUUACAUGCUAGAAAUGUUGACCUACCUCACCUGGUGAAUGGGUUAGUUCCGUAGAAAAUUUAGUUUAUGCUCCCUAAUUUUCUAUAGGAUUAGAGGUAAUAAUACCUAUAAACAUAUCUCUUCUUAAUGAAUUUUUUGUAUGUUAUUUUUGUGGAUAAGGGUGGGGAUAGGUAAUCUCACCAUGUAUUACCCCAGAAUCCAGACAAAAGAGAC
rnacentral:lncRNA from 1 species